rnacentral:rRNA from 1 species
UACGUAGGGUGCAAGCGUUAAUCGGAAUUACUGGGCGUAAAGCGUGCGCAGGCGGUUUUUUAAGACAGGCGUGAAAUCCCCGGGCUUAACCUGGGAACUGCGCUUGUGACUGGAAGGCUAGAGUACGGCAGAGGGGGAUGGAAUUCCGCGUGUAGCAGUGAAAUGCGUAGAUAUGCGGAGGAACACCGAUGGCGAAGGCAAUCCCCUGGACCUGUACUGACGCUCAUGCACGAAAGCGUGGGGAGCAAACAGG